rnacentral:lncRNA from 1 species
CCCCUCCCCAUCACUUGCCCACCCACAGCCUGCUGGCUUUUGGGGGCUUGGAAGGAGUCCUGAUGCUGUGCCAGCACUACGCAGCAAUAGACACAACACUGGAGUGAUAUCAGUGCUGUUCCAGCUAUGAGUGCAGUGUACAGCACUGUGCGGGCUGCUGCAGGGAAAAGGCGACUCCAGCUCAGACAGACCCAACACAGGUGUGAAAGCUGAUUUCUCCUCAAUGGGGAGCACAAUUCAUCUAUGCCUCUUUACAAAAAGGAUGGUGAGGAUCUGAGCUUUACAUUUUCAGAAAGAAAUCUAUACCAGGAAGAGCACUUCUCUCAUCAGAGAUCUGUGAACACUGAACACAGCCUUCCAAGAAAGGAGAUAAUUCCACUCUUCAUUGGACCUUCAAUGUAAGUGUCUGUAGGAAGUAUUAAUAUGAAAAUAAAAUAAUGAAUUAUAUUGCUUAUUUCCA